rnacentral:rRNA from 1 species
UACAGAGGGGGCAAGCGUUGUUCGGAAUUACUGGGCGUAAAGGGCGCGUAGGCGGCACUGUUAGUCAGGCGUGAAAGUCCUGGGCUCAACCUGGGAAUGGCAUUUGGGACUGCAAGGCUGGAGUGUGGCAGAGGAGACUGGAAUUCCUGGUGUAGCAGUGAAAUGCGUAGAUAUCAGGAGGAAUACCGAUGGCGAAGGCAGGUCUCUGGGCUGACACUGACGCUCAUGCACGAAAGCGUGG